rnacentral:rRNA from 1 species
ACGGGUGAGUAACACGUGGGUAACCUGCCCAAGAGACUGGGAUAACACCUGGAAACAGAUGCUAAUACCGGAUAACAACACUAGACGCAUGUCUAGAGUUUAAAAGAUGGUUCUGCUAUCACUCUUGGAUGGACCUGCGGUGCAUUAGCUAGUUGGUAAGGUAACGGCUUACCAAGGCAAUGAUGCAUAGCCGAGUUGAGAGACUGAUCGGCCACAUUGGGACUGAGACACGGCCCAAACUCCUACGGGAGGCAGCAGUAGGGAAUCUUCCACAAUGGACGCAAGUCUGAUGGAGCAACGCCGCGUGAGUGAAGAAGGGUUUCGGCUCGUAAAGCUCUGUUGGUAGUGAAGAAAGAUAGAGGUAGUAACUGGCCUUUAUUUGACGGUAAUUACCUAGAAAGUCACGGCUAACUACGUGCCAGCAGCCGCGGUAAUACGUAGGUGGCAAGCGUUGUCCGGAUUUAUUGGGCGUAAAGCGAGUGCAGGCGGUUCAAUAAGUCUGAUGUGAAAGCCUUCGGCUCAACCGGAGAAUUGCAUCAGAAACUGUUGAACUUGAGUGCAGAAGAGGAGAGUGGAACUCCAUGUGUAGCGGUGGAAUGCGUAGAUAUAUGGAAGAACACCAGUGGCGAAGGCGGCUCUCUGGUCUGCAACUGACGCUGAGGCUCGAAAGCAUGGGUAGCGAACAGGAUUAGAUACCCUGGUAGUCCAUGCCGUAAACGAUGAGUGCUAAGUGUUGGGAGGUUUCCGCCUCUCAGUG